UACGUAGGGUGCAAGCGUUGUCCGGAAUUAUUGGGCGUAAAGAGCUCGUAGGCGGUCUGUCGCGUCGGCUGUGAAAGCCCGGGGCUUAACCCCGGGUCUGCAUUCGAUACGGGCUAGCUAGAGUGUGGUAGGGGAGAUCGGAAUUCCUGGUGUAGCGGUGAAAUGCGCAGAUAUCAGGAGGAACACCGGUGGCGAAGGCGGAUCUCUGGGCCAUUACUGACGCUGAGGAGCGAAAGCGUGGGGAGCGAACAGG
rnacentral:rRNA from 1 species